rfam:Lysinibacillus sp. BF-4 contig00021, whole genome shotgun sequence.
CUCUUAUCAAGAGCGGCGGAGGGAAUAGGCCCUAAGAUGCCCAGCAACCAGUGAUCCAUCACAAUGGUGCUAAGUCCUACAGACAAUUGUCUGGAAGAUAAGGG